UACACUCCUACGGGAGGCAGCAGUGGGGAAUAUUGCACAAUGGGCGCAAGCCUGAUGCAGCCAUGCCGCGUGUAUGAAGAAGGCCUUCGGGUUGUAAAGUACUUUCAGCGGGGAGGAAGGCGAUAAGGUUAAUAACCUUGUCGAUUGACGUUACCCGCAGAAGAAGCACCGGCUAACUCCGUGCCAGCAGCCGCGGUAAUACGGAGGGUGCAAGCGUUAAUCGGAAUUACUGGGCGUAAAGCGCACGCAGGCGGUCUGUCAAGUCGGAUGUGAAAUCCCCGGGCUCAACCUGGGAACUGCAUUCGAAACUGGCAGGCUAGAGUCUUGUAGAGGGGGGUAGAAUUCCAGGUGUAGCGGUGAAAUGCGUAGAGAUCUGGAGGAAUACCGGUGGCGAAGGCGGCCCCCUGGACAAAGACUGACGCUCAGGUGCGAAAGCGUGGGGAGCAAACAGGAUUAGAUACCCUAGUAGUCCCA
rnacentral:rRNA from 1 species